UGUGCAAGCUUUUAACCUAAUUGUAACUGGCUUCAUUUUUUUUUUUCAGUUGGAUUAAUUUUUUAAUAACUAGCUGUUUGAAUGCCAUCUAGUUUGAUUUUAAAUUAAUUAACUUUUGUGGUCAGUGGGUUAUUGCCUGAUUAACUUGGUACACAUAUGUGUGACCUAUGUUAACUUUUUGGAUGCGGUUUCGAGCCCCACGGUUGGCCGCUUGUCUCUUUGUAUACAUAUCGGGUGGUUAUGUUGCAUAGGAUGAUGCCAGGCCAAAAACCAGUUGGUAGAGUUCGCUUGUGCUUGCGAUCUCGGUUUGUAUACAUAUGUUUUCUCUCAAAAAGAGUAUGCAGCAUUAUACUCUAGGUAUUUGACAUGGUUGUAGAGAUUUUUUGGCCUAUCUUUAACACUUUGCUUAUAUAUUAAGUAGGGGCACAUUCUUAAGAAUAAUGAAAGUUGCUUAGUGGGUUUUAGAGACUAGACCAAAGUUUGAGGAUGCAAAAACUCACUAGGGUUGGCUCAAUGGCAAUAAUUGAACCACAUAUCAUCAUCUCAUGAAAUGAGGUGUCUUAUUUAUGAGUCCACUAGAGGUUAUCCCGUCUUUGAUAAAGGAGAAACUUGUCUGGUUUUAAAUGAGCUAGAGUUGGAUCAAACGUGUAUGAUACAUUGAUACUAUAAUCAUAUUUGUAAAGCUAAGUACGAUAUAUAGUAACACAAAAAUGUGGGGUGCAUUAAGCUAAGUGUAUUGAUAGUGGAUACGGAGCUGACUCAUAUACUUGGACAAGGUGGACAAAGGCAAACAUGGUUGAAGACAUCCCAACUUAAAAAGUCAUAACUUGGGCUACGUUUGGAGUUACAGAUAAUGAGGUCUACAAGGACCGGAUUGUGGCAACACAUAAACGGUUUGUCUCAACUUUUGGACCCAAAUUCUUGACACUUUUUACAAGUAUCUCAUCUACUUUCCCCUUGUUAUUUCGAUGGUACUAUAGCAAACUCAACUUCCGAAAAAGUUGUUGCAUCAAGAAAACAAGAAAUUGUUAUUGAUAAGCGUAAAACUCAUAAAAAAACAA
rnacentral:lncRNA from 1 species